rnacentral:rRNA from 1 species
AGUGAACGCUGGCGGUAGGCCUAACACAUGCAAGUCGAACGGCAGCACAGUAAGAGCUUGCUCUUACGGGUGGCGAGUGGCGGACGGGUGAGGAAUACAUCGGAAUCUACUUUUUCGUGGGGGAUAACGUAGGGAAACUUACGCUAAUACCGCAUACGACCUACGGGUGAAAGCAGGGGAUCUUCGGACCUUGCGCGAUUGAAUGAGCCGAUGUCGGAUUAGCUAGUUGGCAGGGUAAAGGCCCACCAAGGUGACGAUCCGUAGCUGGUCUGAGAGGAUGAUCAGCCACACUGGAACUGAGACACGGUCCAGACUCCUACGGGAGGCAGCAGUGGGGAAUAUUGGACAAUGGGCGCAAGCCUGAUCCAGCCAUACCGCGUGGGUGAAGAAGGCCUUCGGGUUGUAAAGCCCUUUUGUUGGGAAAGAAAAGCAGCAGGUUAAUACCCCGCUGUUCUGACGGUACCCAAAGAAUAAGCACCGGCUAACUUCGUG